AGACGUCCAUAUGAUCGAAAGCGGCCGC
rnacentral:sRNA from 1 species